UUAAGCAUAUCACUAAGCGGAGGAAAAGAAACUAACCAGGAUUCCCUCAGUAACGGCGAGUGAACGGGGAAAAGCCCAGCACCGAAACCUGUGGUCAUUUGAUUACUAGGUAAUGUGGUGUUUAGGUCGAAUUUCGAAAGUGCUGCUCCUCUCCAAGUCCGGCAAUGAAUACGGUAUUUUGGACAAGGCCUAUAAAGGGUGAAAGGCCCGUAGGGGAGGAGAUAGUGCUUUCCUAAUCAGACCUUGGAGUCGGGUUGUUUGAGAAUGCAGCCCAAAGUGGGUGGUAAACUCCAUCCAAGGCUAAAUACAAGCACGAGUCCGAUAGCAAACAAGUACCGUGAGGGAAAGUUGAAAAGUACUUUGAAGAGAGAGUAAACAGUGCGUGAAACCGCUCAUAGGUAAACGGGUGGAGUUGAACUGCGUGCUCUGGAGAUUCAGCUGGUGAUUGUAUCAUGAUCUUGGUUAUUUUGAUUGAGCAGCGGAGUCUGUUUGACUAUAGGUUCUUGCCUUCGGGUGAGAAUGCACGUUUGUGCGCUCCGUUGUUAUCCGAGUCAGUCGCCAGUGCACUUUUUCAGAGCGUUCACCACGACCGGCGCAGUUGCCUGACUGUUGGGGUCAAACCGAUUCAGCAAUAUACUUGUGAUUUGGUUGGAUUGGGAUGGCAGGUAGCUCGUUAAUUAGCCUCUGGUUGGUUUUCGAGUGUUAUCAGCUGACUUCAAUGGUUGUGUGCAGCGUGUCGGAGAUAGCGGCUUGUAAUGCGUGCAUGGGCGGCAGGUUACUGGCGUGUUCGAGUUUGGUUGCCAUGUUGUCUGUUUAAACAGUCCUGAUGAUAGCUCGAAUUCGUUCAGUGAUCUGGUGUGCUUGUGGCAUUGAUACAGGGCUGACCGUCUGUGGUGUUGUGGUAGACUAUCCACCUGACCCGUCUUGAAACACGGACCAAGGAGAGUAACAUGUACGCGAGUCAUUGGGCGUAACGAAACCCAAAGGCGCAGUGAAAGUGAAUGUUUGGCUUGUCCAGACUGAGGUGAGAUCUCGUCGUUUCUCACACAUGGUGUUACCAAGUAAAGAGCGGCGAGCGCAUCACCGGCCCGUCCCAUGGCGUAGACGUAGUUAUUUGGAUCUAUGCACCGUCGGGGCGGAGCAUGAGCGUACAUGUUGAGACCCGAAAGAUGGUGAACUAUACUUGCGCAGGUUGAAGCCAGAGGAAACUCUGGUGGAGGACCGCAGCGAUUCUGACGUGCAAAUCGAUCGUCAAACGUGAGUAUAGGGGCGAAAGACUAAUCGAACCAUCUAGUAGCUGGUUCCCUC
rnacentral:rRNA from 1 species